rnacentral:rRNA from 1 species
CUACGGGCGGCUGCAGUGGGGAAUUUUGGACAAUGGGCGCAAGCCUGAUCCAGCAAUGCCGCGUGCAGGAAGAAGGCCUUCGGGUUGUAAACUGCUUUUGUCAGGGAAGAAAUCCUCUGGGUUAAUACCUCGGGGGGAUGACGGUACCUGAAGAAUAAGCACCGGCUAACUACGUGCCAGCAGCCGCGGUAAUACGUAGGGUGCGAGCGUUAAUCGGAAGUACUGGGCGUAAAGCUUGCACAGGCGGCGUGAAAUCCCCGGGCUCAACCUGGGAACUGCAUUUGAGACUGCAAGGCUAGAGUACGGCAGAGGGGGAUGGAAUUCCGCGUGUAGCAGUGAAAUGCGUAGAGAUGCGGAGGAACACCGAUGGCGAAGGCAAUCCCCUGGGCCUGUACUGACGCUCAUGCACGAAAGCGUGGGGAGCAAACAGGAUUAGAUACCCCUGUAGUC